rnacentral:rRNA from 1 species
GUGGCGGACUGGUGAGGAACACGUGGGUAAUCUACCCUUAAGAUGGGGAUAGCUGUUAGAAAUAGCAGGUAAUACCGAAUAGGCUCAGUGCUUCAUAAGAGGCGUUGAGGAAAGGGAGCUACGGCUCCGCUUGAGGAUGAGCUUGCGUCCCAUUAGCUAGUUGGUGAGGUAAAGGCCCACCAAGGCGACGAUGGGUAUCCGGCCUGAGAGGGUGAUCGGACACAUUGGGACUGAGAUACGGCCCAAACUCC